AUAAAAUGGCUGUUGUUUGUUUACAAAUUAACCCGUCUAUUAUUAAAGAUACAACUAUUAAAAAGCAGCUGGUUCUCGAAGGUGAUCCAGGAUCCAGUACUUAUACAAUUUGGACAAUAAAAUGAAUUUAAUAAGGAAGCUCAUCAAUUAAAAGUUAAAUUCUGUGAUCAUUUUGCAUGGAAUUCCUACUUUAUUGUGUAUUCUCAAGGAAAAUUAGAAACCAACUUCAUUCAUCCGAAUGCACAAUUUUUAGGGCUGUAAUUUCUUUCUUUAAAGGUAAAUUGUAAAACCAUUGCAAUAAUUGAGUUCUAGGUGUGUUUUUGCAUGGAGUUAUGUUUUCAAGUUGUCAAGAAAGUAAAACUACAGCUAAAAUUCUGAAUGCAAAAUUGAGUUUUGGAAGUCUUUCUGCAUGGACCUGUGUUUUUGGGUUGCCCAAGAGACUAUUAAUACAAUUAAAUAUGAGAAUGUUGGUAUAUUUACCCCAAUGUUAUAUGUUAAGGGGCUACAACUUCUUUAUUUUAACUGGAAUUCUAAAUAUGCCUUCAGAAUUGUGAUCUAGAAACUUUUAUAUAUGGAAUUGUGUUUUUGGGUUGCA